CAGAGAAUAGUUUAUUGAAAAUGCCAGCUUUGGGAGCUGGAGAAAAAGGUUUGAGUCCUUUUUUUCUGA
rnacentral:tRNA from 4 species